AUGCAAACAUCUGUCUUAGAAGCCUAUUUCACACCGGUGUGCAGUGGCUGCAAACAGCAGCCUCCUGGGUAGUGUGUGCAGCCUGUUGCUUGUAUAGGCUGCUCUAAGGGACCCUGGAGAUAGCC
ensembl:snoRNA SNORA70 Small nucleolar RNA SNORA70